ensembl:lncRNA
GUCAAAAGUAAAAGUAUUUAUGAAGAGUUUAAUGUACAGGAUUUUUUUAAUCCUUUGACUCAAACCAGGUCUAACCACUAACUGAGGUCUAAACCAGGACUAAACCAAGACUAAACCAGGAAGUGCAGAUACAGACUCUAAAAUGUAGUGAAGUAAAAGUAAAAGGUAUUCAUCAUAAAAUUUACUUCAGUAAAGUAAAAGUACCUAUUUUUUUUACAAUACAUUCUGAUAUAGGUGACAAGAUGCCUGUUAGCAUGAUGUAAAACGUUUUUUUUUUUCUUUUUUUCCCCCCUUUUUUCCAGCAUUGGCAGAGACACCCUGGCUGAUAUAGUCAAACACUAUGAGGAGAAUUGGGCAAGACCACGUUUGAGGAAGAAGCACUCACUGCCACGUCCACCAGCCAGGUUCAUCAGCCCUGAGGAUAUCAACAGAGUGGUGGACUUCAUAAAAAACUAUGCAGAAGACAAUGCCAUCAUGCUGCCUGGCCGACAGCCUGGAUAUAAGGAUUGGCAUGUGAAGUUGCUGCCAACUCAUGUGUCCAAGGCCUCAGUGUGGCAUCUCUACAUGAAGUCUGCUAAGGAGCUUGGUGAGCGUGCAGUUUGCAGUUACACUUUCCCUCAAACCCUCUCCAGCCAGGACCAAUGUACUUCCUGACCCCACAGAAAUGUGGCCUAUUUGGUGUUUCCUGUGAAGGGCUGCAUAAACAGGUGAAUUACCUGAUUGAUGAAGGCAUGUCAUCUACUAAGGGAAGCAAUGAAGUCAUCAGCUACACGCAUCAUUUCUUCGGCAACUUUGGAGUUGGAGAAACAGAGGUGGAUCUUCAUUGUGACAACUACAGUGGGCAGAACAAGAACAACUUUCAUGCUCUGGUACCUUGCCUGGCAGGUUGGACACAAGCUUCACGAUAAAAUUGAAAUCAACUUCCUUAUUGCUGGCCACACCAAGUUUUCCCCUGACUGUGGCUUUGGACUCAUCAAGCAAGCCUACAUGAAGAGAAGAGUCAACACUUUGACAGACAUCGCUAAGGUUGUGGAAAACAGCUCUCCUGUGAGUCACCUCAAUAUCCCACAGCUUGUUGGAACGGCAGAGGGCAAAAUUUUAGUCCAGACCUUCGACUGGCAGCAGCAUCUGACUCACCACUUCCGUAGACUCCCACAGAUCAAGAGUUAUCAGCACUUCAGCUUUGACGCCAAGAGACCAGGUGUGGUGCUUGCAAAAACUCACCAUGAUGCACAACCUGUCGAAUAUCAGCUACUGCGCGACGGAGCAGAUCUGCCCCCUAUCGACGGUCUUCCUGUUCUGGGCCCACCUGGACUGAACAUUGACAGGCAGACCUAUCUGUAUGAAAAAAAUCAGGCCAUUCUGUGCUGACGAGGCAAGAGACAUCACAUGCGCAGAGCCAAGGGUCAAAACACAGAAGAGACCACAGAAGAGGAUGCGAAUGUGAUAUCAUUGGACAUUGAAAGUGCUUGAAUUUAUUUUGUGCAAUAAGUUUUCUGGAAGAAAUUCCAUAUUAUUCUCUCCGGUCCGAUAAUGUGUUAUUUCGCCAACACUUCAUGGACUAUGCUUGAUUUAGUUAGUUACUUGCAUUUCCGCGUUAUGUUAAGUGUUUCCCGCGUGAGGUAAUUUUUUGUUGUAUGUUGCCAUGAUGUUCACGCCCGCACAAAACUACUACGGUACCUCAGCGUUUCACAGACACACUGUGAAAUGACUGGUUGCAUGAGCCUAAGCUCUUUUCAAUAAAAUCCAUGCAAAAGUUAAUAUCA